ensembl:lncRNA uncharacterized LOC115510018
GCCUUAUGGGGACUGUAGUUCGGAAGCCGACAAUCGCCCCUUAGGUAAGCCUGGGAAGGGCCGCCCGGAGGCUUCUUCUGAGCAUGUGCAGAUCCUGGUGCUCUACCUGGGCGCUCCUUCCGGUUCUCCAGGUCCUUCCGGGGGCGGGUCGUGCCGGCUCCGAGCUGCUCGGGUUCCGCUGUUCGCUGUACUUGGUGCGAAGUGGAAGCGAAGCAGCUCUGGUAUCACCACUCUUGGCCCUUUCUCAAGAGCAUCCGAAAAUGAACAAAUCCCAGAUGUAUCCUGGCAUUGCAACAGGUUCACACCAGUCUGUCCUAACUGACCAUUCGCUUUACCCCUGAUCAACAGGAGGUUUCAGAACAACAGAUGCAACUCCAGCCGGAGAUUUUGCAACUCUUAACAAGUCCUAGCAAUUCCAGCAAGUUCCCAGGUGGUCCUGAUGCUGGUGUCCAAUACCUGCUCUCUAGCUCCAUCCCCAACUCAGUUGGUCUCUGCUGCACCCCCACAGUGAAAUUCCUAGCAAAUCCCCCGGCACUGCUCAUAGUAGACCGUCUUCUGAUACCCUUUGGUCAGUACCUCCUUGAGUCAUUUGUUGAGUGACUAUGUGAGUUUUGGAAGAGAACUUCCACUCUCUGACUAGUUUCAUCUGGAGAGACAGACGUGGAAAACUUGCCACUGGACAUGAGAGUAUGAGAAGCCGGGACACCACAGCAGCUGACGUGUUAGGAACUGCCUGUCGGCAUCUCAGAAGAAGAGACGAGAAGCUAAUGCGUCUGGGACAGGAUUUUUUUUUUUAAUGAAAGAAUCAUUUUCUCCUCCCCGUUCUCCUCUUCUUCAUUCUGUCACUAAAGAAGAACAGACUCUGAGAAGCCACACCUUGGAACUGAAAACAGGAGCAUGAGAGACCAGGAAUCCCACAGCCCCCCCUCCCACCACAGAGCGGGAACAGACUAGACUGUUUCAGACCCCCUAACUUGGACCCUCUGCUUCCCUGCUUUACCUGAUGGGCCCACAGGGUUGCCACAGCAGCCAGGACCUGGGGUAGAGCAGACUGCCCCAGUGAUCUAGAGUCUGAAACUGCCCUCCCUCACCAUAUCUGUCCUGGAAAAUGAAACUGCCUCUAGCAUCCAGCAGACAGGGAGUGAACUCCCCUUCUGCAAGAAGGAAAUCCCACUACUAGGGCGGACCCAGCCUACACCCGAACCCACUUAUAUGGGGCUCAGAUAAACACACCCGGGACCUUCUGGUUUCUCAGUCAGGGCCAGUCACCUGCCUACACAUUGCCCAGCCCUUCGGGCCCAUAGUGUAAUGAGGAGAGGAGUAGAGCAGUCAUCCUUAACCUGAGCUUGUACCACAGGCACUUGUCAAAACAUCCAUUGCCAAGCCCCACCCCAGGCUCUCUGAAUCAGUAAGUCUGGUGUGGGGCCCAAGAGUUUGUAUGGCUCAUAAGCUUCUGGGUGCUGCUGGUGGAGGACCAUACUUUGAAAACCAGUGGACUGAGGAAUAAACAAGGCUUAGGCUGAAAAAUUAUGAGCGUUCUUUAGCAAUGCCUGCUAUGUGCCUCAGUCUGUAGUACACAGACCCCGCAGGCCUUGUGACCCAUUUCCCCCUUGACACUUUGAGACGAAGGGUCUCACCCGGCCAUCCUUACCUUCACAAGGUAGCUACAGUGGAGGAGGAGAAGUAACUUGGCACCUUAGGCAGAGACACCUCCCCAUCCCAUGGGCCAACACUUACAAGAUGCCCUCGGGCAAGCAGCACAUGCUGUCCCCCUAAGCGUGGCCUGGGUGAGGGAUGAAGUGGCCCCGAUGUGAAUACCUAGACCAAAGGCCACAGAAGGGGGCACCAGAUCCAGAUACACUUGUACCCAAAGACAAGUGACACCAUCAUUAGAUGGGGCAGAACAGAAGCCAAAAUCGAAGACCAAGAAGGAUCGGAUGACCGUGUCAGAAGCAAGCAGGACCCAGCAGACAACACCCAGACCAGACAUCUUGUCCCAGUCCCGGGACUAAGAGCCCUCUGCAUAAAGACUAGAUAGAUACUGAGGCCCAAGAGGGAGAAGUGGAGAACUCUUGAGGAAGAACGUGCUGAAUAUCACUUUUGAAAUAGGAAAGGAAAAAGUUCCUUAGUCAAGAAAUGGUUAAAUAUCAGGAGCUGUCCCCUUGAAUGGGAUCAAAAGAUGAAUUUUUAUUUCGUCUC